rnacentral:rRNA from 2 species
UAGCCGACCUGAGAGGGUAAUCGGCCACAUUGGGACUGAGACACGGCCCAAACUCCUACGGGAGGCAGCAGUAGGGAAUCUUCCACAAUGGACGAAAGUCUGAUGGAGCAAUGCCGCGUGAGUGAAGAAGGGUUUCGGCUCGUAAAACUCUGUUGUUAAAGAAGAACACUCUUGAGAGUAACUGUUCAGGAGUUGACGGUAUUUAACCAGAAAGCCACGGCUAACUACGUGCCAGCAGCCGCGGUAAUACGUAGGUGGCAAGCGUUGUCCGGAUUUAUUGGGCGUAAAGCGAGCGCAGGCGGUUUCUUAAGUCUGAUGUGAAAGCCUUCGGCUUAACCGGAGAAGUGCAUCGGAAACUGGGAGACUUGAGUGCAGAAGAGGACAGUGGAACUCCAUGUGUAGCGGUGGAAUGCGUAGAUAUAUGGAAGAACACCAGUGGCGAAGGCGGCUGUCUAGUCUGUAACUGACGCUGAGGCUCGAAAGCAUGGGUAGCAAACAGGAUUAGAUACCCUGGUAGUCCAUGCCGUAAACGAUGAGUGCUAGGUGUUGGAGGGUUUCCGCCCUUCAGUGCCGCAGCUAACGCAUUAAGCACUCCGCCUGGGGAGUACGACCGCAAGGUUGAAACUCAAAGGAAUUGACGGGGGCCCGCACAAGCGGUGGAGCAUGUGGUUUAAUUCGAAGCUACGCGAAGAACCUUACCAGGUCUUGACAUACUAUGCAAAUCCUAGAGAUAGGACGUUCCCUUCGGGGACAUGGAUACAGGUGGUGCAUGGUUGUCGUCAGCUCGUGUCGUGAGAUGUUGGGUUAAGUCCCGCAACGAGCGCAACCCUUAUUAUCAGUUGCCAGCAUUAAGUUGGGCACUCUGGUGAGACUGCCGGUGACAAACCGGAGGAAGGUGGGGAUGACGUCAAAUCAUCAUGCCCCUUAUGACCUGGGCUACACACGUGCUACAAUGGACGGUACAACGAGUCGCGAAGUCGUGAGGCUAAGCUAAUCUCUUAAAGCCGUUCUCAGUUCGGAUUGUAGGCUGCAACUCGCCUACAUGAAGUUGGAAUCGCUAGUAAUCGCGGAUCAGCAUGCCGCGGUGAAUACGUUCCCGGGCCUUGUACACACCGCCCGUCACACCAUGAGAGUUUGUAACACCCAAAG